rnacentral:misc_RNA from 1 species
AUUUUAGUUUAAAUUGUUUGAAUGAUGUCAGCUGAUUAUUUAAUUCAUUAUAUCCCUGGAUAAAGAUCAUAUUCAUGAAUUUUGUUGAUAGCUUAUUUGAAUUGGAUCUGAUAUUAAACCUUUUUAUAGGCAUUUGAAGUCCACAUAUCACAGAACUUAGAUCAAUGAAUGUAAUAAUCAAAGAAAAUCUAUAUUUCAAAUUCAAAUCUUACAAUUUAAAAUCAUUAUCCAAAACACAAAACAAGGUUAUAAGAUUGACCCUGGGUUCUUUUUCCAUCAACAAAAGGA